rnacentral:lncRNA from 1 species
CUCCUCGAGGAAUGGUGAGCUGUCACUGCUGCACGAGCGUGCUGCCAGCUCCCCAGGGGCUCACCCUAAAAGUUCCUUUUAGAGAACACCUGCAGCCUUAACUCCAUUUUAGAGCCUGACUUCUAGGAGCCAACCUGUGGCAGUUAAGAUGUAUUAUAUACAUCAUAUGUAUUAUAUAUAUUAAUCACCACCAGCACAUAGAGCAUGCAGAGGCAGCCCACUGUUAUAACCACCACGGGGUUGUCCUCAAAAGUAGCAAAGAGCUCGGCAGUCUGGCGGACGUUGAUGGCAUUGGGCAUCACCAGGAAUGUGCUUCCAAAGAAGGUUCUUCACUGGGAUGGGAUGGCCACUGGAGCUGGUCAGACGAAGUCCACCAACAGUCCCGCUGACAUGAAAGUGGCUUCGGGAAGGGAAGGGGCUCUGUGAGAAACUCAUCAUCUGAAAGCCAAGAACAAGAAGCACUGAUGAGCGGCAGGGGUGAGCAGGCUCCUGUGUGAACAGUGACACCCUCAGGCUGGUGACUGGCCCUUGUUCUAUGGGGUGGAUGCAGGGCCCUGCCUUUAACUGAUGGUUCUUUACAGAGAUGUAGUCUGCAAAGGCCAUCUCCAGGACUCAGCAAGCCUUUCUUCCCCCAAAGUUGAUAUAAUCAUAUCUCAACACCUUCAGUUCUAUGUCCGCGGACUCAACUAAAUGUGGACUGAAAUAUUUGAAAAA